AAAGCGUGCGCAGGCGGUUAUAUAAGUCAGAUGUGAAAUCCCCGGGCUCAACCUGGGAACUGCAUUUGAGACUGUAUGGCUAGAGUGUGUCAGAGGGGGGUAGAAUUCCACGUGUAGCAGUGAAAUGCGUAGAUAUGUGGAGGAAUACCGAUGGCGAAGGCAGCCCCCUGGGAUAACACUGACGCUCAUGCACGAAAGCGUGGGGAGCAAACAGGAUUAGAUACCCUAGU
rnacentral:rRNA from 1 species